rnacentral:rRNA from 1 species
AUUGAACGCUGGCGGCAUGCCUUACACAUGCAAGUCGAACGGCAGCAUGAUCUAGCUUGCUAGAUUGAUGGCGAGUGGCGAACGGGUGAGUAAUACAUCGGAACGUGCCCUGUAGUGGGGGAUAACUAGUCGAAAGAUUAGCUAAUACCGCAUACGACCUGAGGGUGAAAGUGGGGGACCGCAAGGCCUCAUGCUAUAGGAGCGGCCGAUGUCUGAUUAGCUAGUUGGUGAGGUAAAGGCUCACCAAGGCGACGAUCAGUAGCUGGUCUGAGAGGACGAUCAGCCACACUGGGACUGAGACACGGCCCAGACUCCUACGGGAGGCAGCAGUGGGGAAUUUUGGACAAUGGGCGAAAGCCUGAUUCAGCAAUGCCGCGUGUGUGAAGAAGGCCUUCGGGUUGUAAAGCACUUUUGUCCGGAAAGAAAUGGCUCUGGUUAAUACCUGGGGUCGAUGACGGUACCGGAAGAAUAAGGACCGGCUAACUACGUG